GUUAGCAGGAUGGUAACAAAAGGACUUCUUGUGCACUUGGGGUGUGACGUGACAACUGUGAGCUCCAGCGAUGAGUGUUUACGAGUAGUUUCUCAGGACCACAAGGUGGUAUUUAUGGAUGUAUGCAUACCUGAUGGUUUUGAAGUUGCUGUCCGCAUACAUGAAAAAUUCACAAAACGUCAUGAGAGGCCAUUGAUAGUGGCACUUACUGAAAACACAAGCAAGGUGACAAAGGAAAACUGCAUGAGAGUUGGCAUGGAUGGUGUGAUACUGAAACCUGUCUCUGUUGACGAGAUGAGGGGUGUUUUAUCAUAUCUUCUGGAGCAUCGGGUUCUAUUUGAGGCCAUGUAACCAUUAGGGAUGUAAAACGAGGAACCUGAGGUCUUGUUGUUUGUUGUGUACAUACCAUAAAAGUAUGGGAGCAGGGAGCAUCACAGUGGAGAUGGAGCACCAGGAAAUUAACACGAUUGCCAAAAGCCAGUCUGUAUCCUUCUGUGCAACCAGCUAUCAAACCCAGAUGGGACAAACAAUUCCAGGAUUGUGCAGAUCCAACUGUCCCUGGAAAUGAAUUUAUUGUUCCUGUUCUUUAAAUUGAAAUUGUAAGACAGUUUGUUUCUCAUAACUCAACUCAACUAAGAUUUUAUCCUAAAAAUUUGAGAUCGGUUAUAUGAAACAAACUGUCUUACAAUUUCAAUUUA
rnacentral:misc_RNA from 1 species